CCCUGCUAUGUCACAUAUGGGUGAAAUGCGGAGAACGCAUUUCGCUGUUGUGUGCUGUGGUGUGUCAACAAUGACAAUUAAUCACUAAAUUCUAUUUCAGCUACCAAUUACAUUGCUCACUAUAUGUGAUGAUCAAUAAAUAAAUUAAUCCAAGAUAGUAUAACAUACAAGCAAUGAAAUGAAACCAAAAUUAAAUCUCAAUCCAUUGCUUUUUUACCAUCACUGGUGAUCUGUUUUUUUUUUUUAGUUUAUUUUUUAACAUAAUAGACCUCAAAUUCUACAAAAGUUCCUUGUUGCAUUAAAAUCUUUAUGUCAUGAAUAAAUUGUGAACAGUCAGGGAGGAAAUACUCAACCUGAACCUCUUUCACACACUUGGCAUUAUGAGGAAAUGAGCUGAUAUCUUCAGCUUUAUACAAUAGUGUGGUAUCUGGUUGUGAACUCAAACGUGUUACAAUUGGACACGUCAGCAUUGCUAUCCAAUUGUUGGCUUUUUUCGCCCCUUUAUUGACUUUAUCAUGUCCAUUUUUAUUCUUUAAUCCAGGACUUUAAAAGAAGUUGGUCCUAUCCCAUCACUAGUAAGGUUGUAGCCCUCCCAUGUAUCACCAUCCCAGUAGAUGCAACCUGCUUAUCACCUGUGCCCAUACCAAGCUCUGCUAAGCUGCAAUGGGAAUAAAAUGCGCAGGAACUAUAAUUUAAGACCCCCGCACACCAAACUCAACCAUGGUCGCCAUUGACUCUGCAGAUUCCCAAUAAACUUAUCCUCAGUACAGGGUAUUUCAGGUCCAGAUGCUCAACUGGUUGGUCAAAACAAAAUCUUGGUUGGGAUUUGUAGCUUCUGGAGCUGAGAUAAAAGAUGGGACAUCUAGCAAAAGAGAUGUGUGAGAAACAAAGUGACUAACAGAAGAUACAGUAGUGUUUGGUAGGAGAAGCUGGUUGAACUUCCUGACUGACUGGCUGGCAGACAGAAAGCUCGGUCCUAGGGGCUGGCCCUUUUGAUAGCCUCUCCACAUCAAAUCUGCGUGCUACCACUAUUCAUCCCUGAAACCUGGAUAUGUAAUCCGAGUGGAUCUCGCCUGCCAUGCAAAUAGAAUCAGGGAAAUAAAACUAAAAAUAUUGUUUUUCUGGUCAAUGCUAACUGUAUAUCUGAUUGUAGAGGCAGGACAACACUGAUACUGGGGUGAACUGAAAGGGGCGGUGCUUGUGACCAUGAGCAUGCUCUUAAGCCUUCUUGGCAUGGUGGGCGUGGUGACACUGGCUCCCAAGAGGAAUCUGAAGAGCUGCCGCUCACCAGAACAGUGGUUGCUACACAUAGGACAUCCGACAAACCUGAAGAGAUUUUUAUUUUUACCACUCAUUCAUUACGGGCAGCGUGUGGUGUUUCAGAGCUAUAAAUAGCCUUUCCAGUCCUGUAAGUCAGGGGUGUAAUGAGGGCCAGCGCAGAAAAUAGAAUUUAACUGCACUGAAUUUUAAGAGCAAGUGUGUGAAGCGGUGAAAUUUGCAGAUGCAGAAAAUGACAGGAAGAAUGCAAGAUUGGAAACAGGGAAGCGCAAAGAGGUUUGGGAAAGGCGGUCACACAACGCAGGGAGGAGAACAAAACAAGGAGAGUGAGCGGAACAAAGGGGGAGAGCGAGCCAGACAAAUGAUAAAUAUUACCGAGAGGCAGUAGUUUUGGCAAAGUGAUGAGUGUAAUGCUUCCUAUUGCUGUGAUUUACCUCUUUUUAUUAGUUUCCACGACAUGGCAAGCUAAUCUGGUCAUGAUCAGAUGCUCAACUGCAUAGAACACUAUGUGGGUGACAAGGUGCCUGUUCCAGGAAAUUGUACAGUAGAAAAUAGAUAAUAAAUUUCAGUUUUUUGCUUGGCGAUAGUGGCUGCCAGCCUUUGCGAAGCACUGAUCUGUGUAUCUGAGAGCUCAGCUUUCUCCUAGAUCCACAGAAAGACAGGCGCGUGGUAAUUAUUUUGGAAGUGAGCAGGUCUGCCAGUGGCCUGGGCAGCCCACGGCAAGGAGCCAUGCCCAGCAGAUGGUACGCAGGCUGCUCAGCUAAUGGGUGUGUGCCCUUCUUGGGCUGGGGCCACUGGGAGCUCUGAUUGGGCCAGGAAUGUCACUACAAUCCCAUAGGUCCCUGUGAAUCCGCACGAAAAAAUUGACGCAAAGCAGUGACCUGAAUAUGCAUGUAAAAAUUCACGGUAUUCUAAGAAUGGGGAGACUCUUCAGACUCCUCCCAAGAAAGCAACUACCUGGGGAAAAAAGGCAGUAAUUCAAGGAAAAACUUAGGAUCUUACCCAAAUAGCAACGAAGUACUGAUGAUAAAAUGUGGCUGUAAUUCAGAUUCAUAGAAAUACAGAAUAAGUAUCUAUAUGCUAUACAUUUUGAAAUAAAUGUUUUUUUACAGAGUUGUCUUCAGAAUCAGAGGCCUACUGAGCUUCCACUGAGACCCCCUUGUAUAAUCUGUCAGGAUCUGCACCUGUCUGUUCCUGUGUGUCCUCCUCAUUGUCAAUGUCUUUAGUGUGUAUUUCCUGUCUUUGUACUGCCAUGUGGCUCAAUAAGCUGAGUGUGUAGCCACUAUUCUCUCUGUUGUGUGAUCAAAUCCAACUUCCUCUGUUUUUGUAUUUUGUUCAUUUAGUGUUUCAUUUAUAUUUCUAGUUCCUGUGUUUUGUGACUUUUUUUUGCUUUGCCUUGGUUCUGUUUUACCUGCCUUUCGUAUCCCAGUGUUAGAUUCUGUUUCCUUGUUUCUCUGUCAGUUUCUUUGUUUCCCUGUUUGAUCUCCCAGUUCCUUGAUUUAUUUAUUAGGUUCACCUGUUUCCUGUAUUCUUGUGCCAGUCCUUGUGUGUUACCUGAUUUGCUCGUUGUCCUGCACCCUCCCUGACUGGUUAAUUGUUUCAUGUAUCACUCCUUCUGUGUUGAUACCUGGUUUGGUUGUGUAUUUAGGUUCCUGCCUUGGUUCAGUUCCUUCAUGGGUAAUUGUAUUUUUGGAGGUGUAUUUCAGUUGUAUUCAGAAUGUUAGACGUUACCCAAUGUUGUCUUAUGUUUGUACUUUGUUCCCUGCCUGCUCCUUGUUGCCCUGACAUUUUUGUAGUCUUUGUAUUUCAUGUUUUGCUUUUUAGCCCCUUGUGGUUUGUUUGUUUUUUUGGUGUUUCCUGUUUCUGUUAAUAAACUACUGUUGUUUUCCUGGAGCCAUCAGUGGAUCAUCCACCUUCUUUCCUGCCUGCACCUUGCCUCAUCCCUGUGAAAGAAACUCUCAAGUCCAGGACACAAUUUCAAUUGGGUUUCUUUUUUUUGGGAGAAUUGAAUGGAAUGGACUGUACGUAGAUGUUCCCUUUGGCUGCCUAGGCUGGGCUUGAAUAACAGACACUUAUAUGAAUGGGUUUCAGUUGCACAUGGUUCUCAGUGAUGACUGGGACACUUAGGCCCGGAGUCUCUGCUCUCUGUUCCACCCGCAUGAACUAUUAUAAGUGGGAAAUUAUCUCCUCCACACAAGGCACUGUUUUGUAAUUACUGUAAGUGCUCUACUUAUCUGAGAAGUAGGUGAUUUUGUGCCAGUGUAAAUUAAUUUGUGACAAUGGAGGGGAGGGAUAGAAUUCACCAUAAAUUAACAGCAAAAAGACAGAAGACUGGGAAGGAGGCAUAGAAUGCAACCAAGAAGACAGGCGGUGCAUCAGAAACAGCUUGCUGGUAGAGUAUAGAAGAAGAACAGUGUUUCACAGAAGGAGAUACUAAGGUUAAUGAUGGGUCACUUCACAGGAGUAUGGUGGUGGGCUAAUUUUUGAUGGAGAGAAAAUAAGUUUACAACAGCCUGACAAUGGAUAGACUUCAUGCUCAGUCUUUGGUUGUUUCUUGAAUCUUUACUGAUAUUGUUGCAAGAAAAUAAACAGUAUGGGAACCAUUGAAAUCUUGCUACAGUAACAACAAAUUAGGAAAUACAGACACUCCUCACAUAACUAAGAUUUGUUCCUACGGCUGGGUCAUUAAGAAAAUUAGUCAAUAAGUGAGGAGCUUCCCCUUACCGAUAGCAUAUUGUACUGGUAACAGGUUUGUAUCAACCAUCUUUGUAUAUUGAUUUAAUAACACCUUUGCUAUAUAUAUAGUGUACUGUAUACUGUAAUAAACAAAAUAGAGGAAAUCAGCUCAAUAAAGCACAGAUUUAUGGAAGAUAUAUGUAAUCUCGGGGAUAAUGAACACUAAUGUAGUGAAUACUGUGCAACUGCAGGAAGAAGACUGAGACUGAGAAGAGUGACACGAGAGGAGAUGCUUGAUGCUGAAAUGCCGCGUCGCCGUAUCGACAACCAAAGUUCUCAUGCAGCGUACAAUACUGAUUGGUCGGAAAGCUGCUCAUAAUUCCGGGCGGCCAUUAAACAGAUACUUCAAAGACUAGGAGACUCCUGUCAAGUGCCUGCUUGGUACUGAGAAGGAUGGUGAUGUGCCUCAGAGGAAAUGGAUUGUAAAUAUUAAACAGGUGGACACAUCUGGGAACGCGAGUACGGGAAAAUGAUGGCUGCUGUCAUUUUGGCCUCAAAGCUGAUCAACGUGUGUUGUCUUGCCCAGGUCAUAUACGUGCUAUUAACUGUACUUAUUCUGUUUUAAAAAAAGAGAAUAAAUUAGAUGUUUCAGCUGUCACCUAGCACUGUCACAGAUAUGUUCUAUCACAAGGUGCCCCCAUCAGCGGAGCUGUUAAGGAUUUUGGAAGGUUAACAGGCAUUAUGCACGGAUUGAGCACUUCGCACCUGUGCAUUAGACGUUUGUUGCUACCCUGUAAGUCAGGGGUAUCCAUCCUUUUUUGACAACGAGAGCUACUUUUACAAAGAAGAUACCGAAUUGCAACGGUAAUGGGGGAUGGGGGGGGGUAGACUUCCUCGUUUUAUUUUGCCAGUUCCCCAUCGAUAAUACAAAGGAUUAUCCAUUAAUUAUCAAUGGGUUUCACACCCCUGCCAUAGGUAGACAAAAUGACAGGUUUUGCGUACGUCAGAUAUGUACGUGAACACAUGGGGUAGCCAAGAUGCGACCCCCAGUCCCCCCCAGACUGACUCGAUUUGCAAAUUCAGCAGCCGACAAGUGUGUUGUAUUUUUAUAUAUCUUGGUCACACUUGAGUUUGAGGGGACAUGAAUAAUGUAAUAGUACAUGCUUACUUAAUGCAUUAAUUAACCAGUAACUAAGCGUCAGUUAUGUCCUGAUCCCAUGUUCAUCAUUAAUCGAUCAAGACAGCUAUUAUCACUUAACUAAUUAGUUAAUAAUGGUAAGACCACUUGAGGGGACAAGAAUUACUUAUUAACUUAUUUACAACUCAAGAAGAAACCAUAAACGUAGGUUUUCCCAUGAAAUACAACGUAAACUAAUCCAAAUGUUCCAAAUUUUUUCAGGGCUGCCAUUUGGAAUCAUCCUAACUCACAGCACCUCUGGCGGCCAUCAUAGGGGUGGCACCUGGCUUGGUCUAGUCACAAAGAUAUACAUCUCAGACCACCUGUCCGUCGACUGCACAGUAUCCAUUGCCUGGGGAAUCCUAAAUGCAAGUCCCCCUAUUUAGAUGCAACAAUGGAUAUCUUACUUGGGAGGUUGGACUGACUCCAGUACCAAACUCCCUUCUGGAAAUUCCACUAUUCCUGUUCAGCCUCACUUGAAUAUUGAUCUAAAUAUCCAUCAUUUAUAUAAGCACUUCCUUUUCUCCCCAGUACCCUUCUGAGGUAAUGUGUGUAUUGUCUGACAAACCAAGCUGUUGUGAUGGGUCUUCUAACCUUGUUUCUUUAACCCCGCGCUGCCCUACCCUACUCCUGCAGAUUUACCACCUGGCAGAGCUUAAGUGCAGCCUUAAUUUAAUACACCUGACACAGAUAAUCAGGCCCUUCAGUUGCAUCUCAGUAUCAGAGCCAACCAUGAAGCUAAGCUCUGCACUGUGGUGGGUUGCCAGGAAGAGGG